rnacentral:rRNA from 1 species
CAGCGCCACAAGUGGCAAUCACGUUUAUUGGGCCUAAAGCGUCCGUAGCCGGUUUAGCAAAUCUUUUGUGAAAUCGUCAGGCUUAACUUGACGAAUUGCAGAAGACACUACUAAACUAGGGACUGGGAGGAGUCAGAAGUAUUCUGGGGGGACCGGUAAAAUGGUAUAAUCCCCAGAGGACUACCGAUGGCGAAGGCAUCUGACCAGAACAGAUCCGACGGUGAGGGACGAAAGCCAGGGGAGAAAACCGGAUUAGAUACCCGUGUAGUCC